rnacentral:tRNA from 1 species
GCCCUCAUAGCUCAGUAGGUAGAGCGCAUCCAUGGUAAGGAUGAGGUCAGCAGUUCGAGCCUGCUUGAGGGCUCCA